UGUUUUGUUGAUUGUACAGCGGUGGCAAGAUCCUUUCUUCAGGUGGCAGCGACAGAAGAGGUUGCUUCCCCUCUCAGAGUUGUUCAGAUCGAGGGAUUGGUUAUUUUAAAGAUAAUCAAACAUUGCAAGGAAUUUUCACCGGCUUUGGUCACAGGGCAGCUUCUGGGAUUAGAUGUUGGCAGCGUUCUU